rnacentral:rRNA from 1 species
UGGGGAAUAUUGGACAAUGGGGGCAACCCUGAUCCAGCCAUGCCGCGUGUGUGAAGAAGGCCUUUUGGUUGUAAAGCACUUUAAGCAGUGAAGAAGACUCCAUGGUUAAUACCCAUGGACGAUGACAUUAGCUGCAGAAUAAGCACCGGCUAACUCUGUGCCAGCAGCCGCGGUAAUACAGAGGGUGCGAGCGUUAAUCGGAAUUACUGGGCGUAAAGCGAGCGUAGGUGGCUUGAUAAGUCAGAUGUGAAAGCCCCGGGCUUAACCUGGGAACGGCAUCUGAUACUGUUAGGCUAGAGUAGGUGAGAGGAAGGUAGAAUUCCAGGUGUAGCGGUGAAAUGCGUAGAGAUCUGGAGGAAUACCGAUGGCGAAGGCAGCCUUCUGGCAUCAUACUGACACUGAGGUUCGAAAGCGUGGGUAGCAAACA